rnacentral:rRNA from 1 species
GCUACAGGCUUAACACAUGCAAGUCGAGGGGCAGCAUGGUCUUAGCUUGCUAAGGCCGAUGGCGACCGGCGCACGGGUGAGUAACACGUAUCCAACCUGCCGUCUACUCUUGGACAGCCUUCUGAAAGGAAGAUUAAUACAAGAUGGCAUCAUGAGUCCGCAUGUUCACAUGAUUAAAGGUAUUCCGGUAGACGAUGGGGAUGCGUUCCAUUAGAUAGUAGGCGGGGUAACGGCCCACCUAGUCUUCGAUGGAUAGGGGUUCUGAGAGGAAGGUCCCCCACAUUGGAACUGAGACACGGUCCAAACUCCUACGGGAGGCAGCAGUGAGGAAUAUUGGUCAAUGGGCGAGAGCCUCGAACCAGCCAAGUAGCGUGAAGGAUGACUGCCCUAUGGGUUGUAAACUUCUUUUAUAAAGGAAUAAAGUCGGGUAUGUAUACCCGUUUGCAUGUACUUUAUGAAUAAGGAUCGGCUAACUCCGUGCCAGCAGCCGCGGUAAUACGGAGGAUCCGAGCGUUAUCCGGAUUUAUUGGGUUUAAAGGGAGCGUAGAUGGAUGUUUAAGUCAGUUGUGAAAGUUUGCGGCUCAACCGUAAAAUUGCAGUUGAUACUGGAUAUCUUGAGUGCAGUUGAGGCAGGCGGAAUUCGUGGUGUAGCGGUGAAAUGCUUAGAUAUCACGAAGAACUCCGAUUGCGAAGGCAGCCUGCUAA